GAUGAACGCUGGCGGCGUGCCUAAUACAUGCAAGUCGAGCGAACGGACGAGAAGCUUGCUUUUCUGAUGUUAGCGGCGGACGGGUGAGUAACACGUGGAUAACCUACCUAUAAGACUGGGAUAACUUCGGGAAACCGGAGCUAAUACCGGAUAAUAUUUUGAACCGCAUGGUUCAAAAGUGAAAGACGGUCUUGCUGUCACUUAUAGAUGGAUCCGCGCUGCAUUAGCUAGUUGGUAAGGUAACGGCUUACCAAGGCAACGAUGCAUAGCCGACCUGAGAGGGUGAUCGGCCACACUGGAACUGAGACACGGUCCAGACUCCUACGGGAGGCAGCAGUAGGGAAUCUUCCGCAAAGGGCGAAAGCCUGACGGAGCAACGCCGCGUGAGUGAUGAAGGCCUUCGGAUCGUAAAACUCUGUUAUUAGGGAAGAACAUAUGUGUAAGUAACUGUGCACAUCUUGACGGUACCUAAUCAGAAAGCCACGGCUAACUACGUG
rnacentral:rRNA from 1 species